GACGAACGCUGGCGGCGUGCUUAACACAUGCAAGUCGAACGGAAAGGCCCUGCUUUUGUGGGGUGCUCGAGUGGCGAACGGGUGAGUAACACGUGAGUAACCUGCCCUUGCCUUUGGGAUAACUUCAGGAAACUGGGGCUAAUACCGGAUAGGAGCUCCUGCUGCAUGGUGGGGGUUGGAAAGUUUCGGCGGUUGGGGAUGGACUCGCGGCUUAUCAGCUUGUUGGUGGGGUAGUGGAUUACCAAGGCUUUGACGGGUAGCCGGCCUGAGAGGGUGACCGGCCACAUUGGGACUGAGAUACGGCCCAGACUCCUACGGGAGGCAGCAGUGGGGAAUAUUGCACAAUGGGCGGAAGCCUGAUGCAGCAACGCCGCGUGCGGGAUGACGGCCUUCGGGUUGUAAACCGCUUUCGCCUGUGACGAAGCGUGAGUGACGGUAAUGGGUAAAGAAGCACCGGCUAACUACGUG
rnacentral:rRNA from 1 species